rnacentral:rRNA from 1 species
GAAAUAUUAGAUAAUACCGAAUGUGCUUAUACGGAUAAAGCCGUAUAAGGAAAGGAGCUACGGCUCCGCUUUAGGAUGGGCCUGCGUCCCAUUAGCUUGUUGGUGAGGUAACGGCCCACCAAGGCGACGAUGGGUAUCCGGCCUGAGAGGGUGAACGGACACAUUGGGACUGAGAUACGGCCCAAACUCCUACGGGAGGUAGCAGCUAAUAAUCUUCCGCAAUGGACGAAAGUCUGACGGAGCGACACCGCGUGAAUGAAGAAGGCUGACAAGUUGUAAAAUUCUUUUGCACAUGA